GAUGACAAUCGUGGUGCUGGGUUGACAGCUGGACUAGAUGAUCUUGAAGGUCUCUUCCAACCUUGGUGAUUCUUUGAUUCUGUGAUACUGUACGGUUUUUAAUUAGGAUUUAUAGUUCAGGAAAAGAAAAAAAAAAAAAAGAAAAUAGGUAGUUGGUGUACUUCAGAAGGUAAGUCCAUAUGAAGAGGAGCUGCAAAUAAUGCAGGAUUCCUGGAAGCUAAGCAGUCAGAAACUCAAGCCCUCAAAAAUGACUAGAUGUAUUGGAAUACUUGGGCUUUACAGUCUUUAUGAUUUCCUCAAAGUACAAUAUAAAGGAUAUAUUUCCUUGCUCACAAGAGCGUAAAGGAUUAAUUUGUUAAAGUUUGUGAAGCGCUUGGGUGAUGUGAUAAAAAUUUUCACUAACACAGGACUGGAUUUCUGCUUUGUAAGGAAGUUUUGGGCUACCUCUUUUUUGGGAGUGGGGUUUUUGUUUGGUUGGUUUGUUUGUUCGUUUGUUUUCUUUUUCACUGCUUUAAAACACACUCUCAUAAAAUAUUGAAUCUUGCAGAUCUAUGGGAUAAGGCUUCAUAAAUCACCAGUAUUUAGUAAUUGCUGACCUGGAACACUUGCCGAAACCCACAAACCACUCAGUACGUUGCAAUUUGUGAGACCUUACGAGCCACGUAAUAUUUUACAGUUCCUGAAGCUAUUACCCAUCUUUGCAGGAAGAGAGAGAUUUUGAAAGUUGAAGAACCAUUUAUAACACAGUGGCGAGGCUAUGGUGAGACAAUUCCUAAAUUAUAUCCAGUGCCAAAAUCCAGUUGGACUGCAAUGGUAUUUCGGUGCCCAGGCAGCAGUGCUGAGUACCCACACAUAGCCCUUCUCUGUGUCACGAGGAUUCAUUUCUGGUUUUCAUCCAGCAGAGAUAGUCCAGUAAAAGGGAUGGUUUUCACACCAAGGUGAGAAAUGCAGGUUUUUAAAUCAUCCACAGGUCGAGCAGGGCCAAGCACUUGGUGGCUGAAGCCACAGAGUGCCCAGGCUGCCCUAACAGCUGUUUCUGGCCAUGAAACAAGGACAAGAUGAAAGUACAGCUAUCUGGGUGUCCCAGACGGAGAGCUAUGGCCACUCCUGAGUGGAUCAUGUCUGCCAGACUUUGGGAGUGGAAUGACCUGUAAAAGGAGUGGAGGAAACCCACAUGAAUUGUGACUAGAGAUGUCUCCUGGGCUACUGACAUAUAUUAGAAAUCUAAACUUAUACUUGGGUCACUGUGGAAAUCCCUGUGCACCUCAAGAUACACAUAAAAUCAGUAUUGUUUAUGCAGAGUUUUUGUGUAAUCUCAGUUCUAACUUCCCCUUGAAUGUAAGAGAGGAAAUAGAAAACUGUUUUAGAAGGAAAAGAAAAAGCAGUUUAUACUAUGGGAAGUCUGAAUAGGAAGCUCCAGCUGACUGUUUACUAAGCUAAAUGCAACAUGGAAAAUUCAGUGUGUCAGGAAAAAUAACAUAGUUUUCUCUCCUGGUGGCAAGCAGCCAUGAUUGUUGUUACUGACAUGGUCAGCUAAUAUCAUCCUUCUGAUAUUACUAUAGAUGGAUAAAAUCACCAUGAGAACUACCCAGUCCUGAAAAAUACACAUUUGUACUGGUUUUUCUCUCCUCAAUACAGUAAGGUCAGUUCUGAGCUGGGGCUGCAGGGCUGGGAGUGUAUCUGGAAGCUUCUAUGAAGUGUGGGGUGGUUCAGUGUUUACUGGACAUAUACAUGUGUCAGAAAGUGCCCUGCAUCCCUGCCUGGUACAGGCCAAUCCCUGGUAGGGAAAAGAUGAGCCCAGAUGAGACAAAUACAACAUGACCUAUGCAUCUAAGAGAUGUUUUCUUAACAACCAGCUUUCUAGCACAGAAGAAGAGUGUUUCUCUCCAACCUUCUGUGCGUCUUCUGUGUCUGGAGAGAGGAGAGCUCUGAGAGUACAGCUGUGGAAUCUGAAUAGGAGAUAACAGUGCAAAUGUGUGUAGUGUGCGUCUAAGCCCUGAUUUUCAAUACACAAUGAUUUUUUUAAAAAAGCUUAGUGCUGACUCUGAUGCCUUUUGCACUUCUAGUGCCUUUUCUCCUACGCAUUGCACAGCAGCAGCACGUUCUGGUGUCUGCUAUAAUAUGGGUAAUAACUCGCAGUCAUAUGUUUCUGAUUUUCAUCAAAUGGAGCAACAAUUUGGGGGGUAUCCUGCAAGGGUAACACAAAUUAUCUUUUAAAAUUAAUGGUAGAAGUGAUCCUGUAUCUCAGGAAGCGUGUCCAUGGAUUCUGUGAAGUGAGUUGGGUGGCAGAUAGAGGUGAGCUGGAAUUCAUUGGAAUAAUAGGGGUAGUAUAAUGGUGGGUAAUGUCCCAAGACUUACAGCAGGACUGAUGUUUCCAG